CAGUUCAGGUAAACCAUCUUGGCUGAACUUGAAAAGCUAAGCAAGGUCAGACCUGAUUGUUUUCUGGAUGGGAGACCACAAAAUAGAUUGAGGAGCUGAUUGA
rnacentral:rRNA from 1 species